rnacentral:pre_miRNA from 1 species
UGGACAGAUUAUUGUAUUCAACUGUAUUCACGGCGUGAAACAGGGGAUUAUACUGUUUUUAAACGGAAAGUGAAUCAAUUAACAGAAUAGACUCCU